rnacentral:lncRNA from 1 species
UACAGUUCGAAAAGCGUCAAAGUCAGUCGAGAUGGAUCUCAACCCUAAAGAACCAAGGCGAAGGAUUAUUUCCUCCUUAUAAACCGAUGUGGGACUAUUGGUGCUCUCCAAAUUAUUAGAACCACAACAUAACCUCACAGUCAAGGGAGACUUUAAUGUGUACAGUCCGAGGAGCCCCACAGUUAGCCAAAGUAGACCUCAGCUUUAGAGAACCG